UACGUAGGGGGCAAGCGUUGUCCGGAAUUAUUGGGCGUAAAGAGCGCGUAGGCGGUCCGAUAAGUCGGCUGUGAAAGUCAGGGGCUCAACCCUUGAAAGCCGGCCGAUACUGUCGGACUAGAGUCCGGAAGAGGCAAGUGGAAUUCCCGGUGUAGCGGUGAAAUGCGCAGAUAUCGGGAGGAACACCAAUGGCGAAGGCAGCUUGCUGGGACGGUACUGACGCUGAGGCGCGAAAGCGUGGGGAGCGAACAGG
rnacentral:rRNA from 1 species